rnacentral:lncRNA from 1 species
AAGAAUUUGUUCCACUUCUAUUUGAUUCCAUACGCAAGUGAACUGCUCUUGUGAUUUUGCCUGAAACGACAACUAUAGUUAAUUCUUUGAGUAUAACGCAUCAACAAGUUCAUCCAAAUUCAAAAUGGGACACUAGGUUCUUCGGAGGAGGGAACAUUUGUUCCUACCACUAGGCUUACUGGAAAAAAUGUAGAAAAAUUAAAACGUGGAGCCUUGCUGGAGCAAAUGGCUUGAGAGAACUUUGUUCAAUUCUGUAUUGCCCCCCCCCCCCCCACCCCCCCCCCCCCCCCUCUGUAACUUUGCCUGACUGGGCUCUUCUCCUCAGUUAAUAUAAUAGGUAAAUCUCCUGCAUGUUCGUUUAAAAAAAAACUUGGUACUAGAAGAAAAAAGGGGACACUCUAUAAUUCUAUAUAUUCAACUUUAUUAGAAAAUUAUGGACUUGAAACAAUGAGCUAAUGGUUUCUCAUCUUCAUUACUCCCUCCAAUAAAUAAUAAAGUUCCGUUUUGGACAUCGACAUGGUCUAGAAAAAAAUAUUUAUACAACAUAACACAAAUGUACUUUUAUGAAACCGUAGUUUGAGACAGAUCUAGAUAGCAUUGUAUCAUUUUCAAAUAUUCAAACUCAACCCAUAAAAAGUAAUAUACAACCGGAAUUUGAAAGUAUUGACUUAAAACAAUCCCAAAACGCCACUUAUUUAUGCCUGGACAGAGUAUUUCCGUUGUACCAAAUGGUUGUUCUUCCUAUAGUUGCAUAUGUGUAAUGCAAGUUUCGUGGCUAACAGCCAUGAUUCGAGUCCUACUGUUACAAAUUAUUUGGUUUUACUAACUUUGACUAGUGAUGUUUUGGUUGAUGAGUCGGAAGGACAGUGUGUGGUAAGUUGGUAACUAACUAACUAACCUUGAAAAAAAAAGUUAUGCAAUAUAUAAAAUAGCUAGCAUUGCAAGUGGCGUACAGAGACUUAUAGAUUUGGUUCGUCCGACAUUCUAAUUCCUCAAUACAAGAAUCCAGAAUUGACCGCCUGUAUGCUGUUUCACAAAUUUAAUUUAAGUAGCAAGUUUUUCCAGUGAGUUCAAAAAUAUUUAAUUUUAAUUAAUCAACUGUCUAUAUGCUACUAGCAAAGCUAGGUCCAAAUCACUUUCCACAAUUCUUAAUAAAAGGCUCGAUAUGUUCUUGUAACCUUCC